GAUGAACGCUGGCGGCGUGCCUAAUACAUGCAAGUCGAGCGAACAGACGAGGGGCUUGCUCCUCUGACGUUAGCGGCGGACGGGUGAGUAACACGUGGAUAACCUACCUAUAAGACUGGGAUAACUUCGGGAAACCGGAGCUAAUACCGGAUAAUAUAUUGAACCGCAUGGUUCAAUAGUGAAAGACGGUUUUGCUGUCACUUAUAGAUGGAUCCGCGCCGCAUUAGCUAGUUGGUAAGGUAACGGCUUACCAAGGCAACGAUGCGUAGCCGACCUGAGAGGGUGUUCCGCCACCCUGGAACUGAGACACGGUCCAGACUCCUACGGGAGGCAGCAGUGGGGAAUCUUCCGCAAUGGGCGAAAGCCUGACGGAGCAACGCCGCGUGAGUGAUGAAGGUCUUCGGAUCGUAAAACUCUGUUAUUAGGGAAGAACAAAUGUGUAGGUAACUAUGCACGUCUUGACGGUACCUAAUCAGAAAGCCACGGCUAACUACGUG
rnacentral:rRNA from 1 species